UACGUAGGGACCAAGCGUUGUUCGGAUUUACUGGGCGUAAAGCGUGCGUAGGCGGUUUGUUAAGUCCGUUGUGAAAGCCCUGGGCUCAACCUGGGAAUUGCAGUGGAUACUGGCGAGCUAGAGUGCGGUAGAGGAUGGUGGAAUUCCCGGUGUAGCGGUGAAAUGCGUAGAGAUUUGGAGGAACACCAGUGGCGAAGGCGACUUUCUGGUCUGUAACUGACACUGAGGCGCGAAAGCGUGGGGAGCGAACAGG
rnacentral:rRNA from 1 species